CCGAGCGGCGGGGCGGCCAUGGCCGCGGGGCGGGCGGCGCUGGCGCUGUGGGCCGUGGCGGCCGCGCUGUGCCGCCUGCAGCCCGCCCUGGCGGCAGAUGCCAAGUGGAAAAGGAUAACUGGGCAAAUUAAGAAAGCUGUGGAAGCCUAUGAGCCGUGUGUAAAGGAAAAUUGCAGCUGCCACCAAAGUGUCUGGAAGCAGGACCUGGCUCCUUUUCGAGGUGGCAUUUCCAAGGAGACGAUGUCAGACGUGGUGAGCCGGAAGCUCGGGACCCACUACCAAAUAAUUAAAAACAAACUGUAUCGUGAGCAGGACUGCAUGUUCCCUGCAAGAUGCAGUGGAGUUGAGCACUUCAUUCUGGGGAUCAUCCACCGCCUCCCUGACAUGGAAAUGGUGAUCAACGUGCGAGACUACCCCCAGGUUCCCAAGUGGAUGAAACCCAUUAUCCCAGUCUUCUCCUUCAGUAAGACAUCUGAAUACAAUGAUAUCAUGUAUCCUGCCUGGACAUUUUGGGAAGGAGGACCAGCUGUUUGGCCAAUUUACCCAACAGGUUUAGGGCGCUGGGACCUCAUGAGAGAGGACCUCAGAAGAUCUGCAGAAAAAUGGCCAUGGGAGAAAAAAAUCUCUAAGGGAUAUUUCCGAGGAUCCAGAACAAGCCCUGAGAGAGAUCCCCUCAUCCUGCUGUCCCGAGAAAACCCAGAACUUGUUGACGCUGAGUACACUAAAAACCAGGCUUGGAAAUCUGAAAAGGACACCUUAGGAAAGCCUCCUGCAAAGGAAAUUCCACUGGUUGAUCACUGCAAAUACAAGUACCUGUUUAAUUUCCGAGGAGUGGCGGCCAGUUUCCGCUUGAAGCACCUUUUCCUGUGCGGCUCGCUCGUCUUUCAUGUCGGAGAGGAGUGGUUGGAGUUCUUCUACUCCCAGCUGAAGCCUUGGGUCCACUACAUCCCGGUGCGGUCAGACCUCUCUGAUGUCAGGGAGCUCUUGCAGUUUGUAAAGGAAAAUGAUGCCAUAGCACAAGAAAUUUCAGAGAGGGGACGUCAGUUCAUCACUGAGCACUUGGAGAUGGAGGACAUCUCUUGCUACUGGGAACAUCUGCUCUCUGAAUAUUCCCAAAACUUGACUUAUAAAGUGAAAAGAAGGAAGAGCUACAGUGAGAUCACUUCUGGACAGCUGAAAACAGAACUGUAGAGAUUUAUCUGUUUUUUUGUUUGGCUCAAACUGAUCACUGUGGAAAUCUGAAGAUCAGUAUUAACUUGUUUCUUGCUCUCUCAGACUUACUUUCAUAGUAGAACUUCAGAGAAGUCAACAGUAGGCUGACUUGGACAUUGCUUUCAGGCACUGGGACCUGGUUAUAUUGUCACCAGAAGAAUGUUAAGCAGCAUAUUGGAUUAAGGCUAUUUAAUGGGGUGGUCAGUCAUGCCUAGAAGAAAGAGGGAUGUUAGCAUUUUAGGACUUAGUUGCUACCUGUCUCAAAAUGAUCCUAAAUCCCAUUCAGUCCAUGAGGAGCCUUACUGGACUUUUUACCAAAGGUCAUGGCAAAGGACACGGACUGUGAGCUGCGCUCAGCUAGUAAAUACCUGCCCCUUUGUUUGGCAAAUGUUUUCUCAGCUGGGUGAUAGUACCUGGGGUAUUAGGAGUGCUCUGUCAGAAGCAGGUACCGGGAUUUGGGGGUAACAUUUCUGGAUAGCUUAGAGUUUAUCUUUAUGGCGGGUUUCAGAGGUUGAUGGUAAGGUUUUGACAUGCCCUGGAAAGGACAACUGAUCCUUGCAGAGUUACCCUACCUACCUCACAGGGGAUCAGCAUGGGACCAUCAUCAGUGAUGUGCUUGGCAACUGAGACAGAGAUGGUUCAUCGUCCAGCAGAUGAGCUGGGUGCCUGCACAACUGAGCCCCUGUUAAUUAUCUCUCACCAGCUGCCUGGCCAGACAUCCAGGGAUGUCAUCCUUAGGAACCCAGAGAAAGUAUUCAUAGAGCUGUGCCACUUCUUUUUUCAUCUCCUUCAGCCUGAUUGAGGGAAUAUCUUCAGUCACACAGUAGCAGCUACUGCUCACAUUGCCCUUUUUAAGGUGGUCACAGGCUGCUUGGGCUCGCUGUGUUUA